GACGGAGGAUGCAAGUGUUAUCCGGAAUCACUGGGCGUAAAGCGUCUGUAGGUGGUUCGAAAAGUCCACUGUUAAAAAUUGAGGCUUAACUUCAAAGAUGCCGUGGAAACUUUCAAACUAGAGUAUGGUAGGGGUAGAGGGAAUUUCCAGUGGAGCGGUGAAAUGCGUAGAUAUUGGAAAGACCACCGAUGGCGAAGGCGGCGCUCUGGGCCGGAACUGACGCUGAGGAGCGAAAGCGUGGGUAGCAAACAGG
rnacentral:rRNA from 1 species